rnacentral:rRNA from 1 species
GGGCGAAAGCCUGAAGCAGCAACGCCGCGUGCGCGAUGAAGGCCUUCGGGUCGUAAAGCGCUUUUGAGAGGGACGAGAUAGGACGGUACCUCUGGAAUAAGUCACGGCUAACUACGUGCCAGCAGCCGCGGUAAAACGUAGGUGGCAAGCGUUAUCCGGAUUCACUGGGCGUAAAGCGCGUGCAGGUGGCUUCGUAAGUUGGACGUUAAAUCUCCCGGCCUAACCGGGAGGAGUCGUUCAAUACUGCGGGGCUAGAGGGCAGAAGAGGGGGGUGGAAUUGCUGGUGUAGUGGUGAAAUGCGUAGAUAUCAGCAGGAACACCUGUGGCGAAAGCGGCCCCCUGGUCUGCUCCUGACACUCAGACGCGAAAGCUAGGGGAGUGAACGGGAUUAGAAACCCCGGUAAUCCUAGCCGUAAACGAUGGAUGCUAGGUGUGGGUGGUAUUGACCCCAUCCGUGCCGAAGCCAACGCGUUAAGCAUCCCGCCUGGGGACUACGGCCGCAAGGUUA